UAAUACGUAGGAGGCGAGCGUUAUCCGGAAUUACUGGGCGUAAAGCGCUUGUAGGCGGCUCGGUAGGUGCUUGGUGAAAGCCCCCGGCUCACCCGGGGAGGGUCCGAGCAAACCGACGGGCUAGAGGCAGGCAGAGGGUCGUGGAACGUCCGGGGGAGUGGUGGAAUGCGUAGAUCCCGGACGGAACACCAGAGGCGAAGGCGGCGACCUGGGCCUGAUCUGACGCUGAGAAGCGAUAGCGUGGGGAGCAAACAGGAUUAGAUACCCUGGUAGUCCACGCUGUAAACGAUGGACGCUUGGUGUGUGGGCGGCUCAACCCGUCCGCGUGCCGUAGCUAACGCGAUAAGCGUCCCGCCUGGGGACUACGGUCGCAAGACUA
rnacentral:rRNA from 1 species